UAGCUUAGUGGUUAAGAGCACUGGCUGCUCUUCCAGAGGGCCUGGGUUCAAUUCCCAG
rnacentral:tRNA from 1 species